CACUUGCAGAAGCACAAGGGAAACAGAAAAACCUGUGUAAUGGACUUGCUACAUUACAACCACACACCGGUGAAAUUCAUCUAUGCAUUUGACCCAUCCCCGCAAGGAGCAGUGAGCUGCACUGCAGCUGCACUCAAAAACUAUUUGGUGGUUUAACGACAAAAAAAAGAAGCACGACAAAAUGAAUGGACCCAUAAGCCGACCAGAAAGGCUCCUAGUUGCAGUUCCAAUUUCCCAUGGGCGCUUUGGCAGGGCCAUCCUACCGUGGGUGG